CUGGCACUUGACUUCGCAGCACCAGUGGAAUUUGCAGUUGCACUGAUGGGAGACGUGGUUGAACUGGUGGGUGUUGUACCCCCGUCCACAGCAGAGCAGGUUGCAGCCAUCAGCACCUAUUACAGAAUAGAGAGAACAAGUUACCUGUUGAGGUUCGAUUACACCUCCUGCCGACGACACCCAGCGACCCCGUCGACGGGUUCGCCUCGCAGUAGUUUGGCGAAGAGUUGAGAAACACCAGCUCCGAGAGACGGGGCUUGUUGUGCGGCUUCCUACGCAACUGCAGCGUCAACAGUUUGCGUGGCUUGCUGUCGUUGCCGCUGCGACUCUCUUUGGCGACGACGGCCUUGGCUUCACGGUACCUGUCACCACACAUUCAACAUCAAAACGAGUCAGCGCUGAUGGGCAUAUCAUAAUGUGUUUAACAAAACUAUUCAAAAACGAUGAUUUACUGCUUCAUCAGGGCAUCGCCAAUGUCCCUGAAGGCCGGCAAUUUCUCCCAACAGGUUUUGAGUGAGCAACUGCCGCUGACUCCGUGGCAUUUGCAUUCCUUCUUCAACAUCGAUUUGACAAUCUAGAUACACACAAAUGAUAAAGGAACAAAAAAGAAAAGAAGAUUCAUCAAGCUCCUAUCGUCUCCUUCGGUUUCUCUCGAGUCGGCGAAUCGUUUGGCCAGCGAGGCUCCCGAUCGGACGUCGGCCGAACAGCCGCCCC